CGUCACUGACCAUGGCAAGGCCUGAAAAAGCAUUUCCUCUUAACAAUUUGACGACUCCCACACUACCCUUUGCUCCACAUCUACUCUGCAGUGGAUACCAGGACCGGCAUUCCAACCUUUGUCCAACUGUGAGUUGGUGUGGACUCUCAGGACUCAGUCAGCCAUGAAGUGACAGCAUGCAAUCUGAUAUAGGCUCUACAUAUAAGAAUGCACUUUUCAUGGAAUGGAGAAUUUCAAAGUAUUCCUGAUGAAAAGGUCAAAACUGAGUAGACAUUUGGAAAUGGAAGUGGAACCACCAAGAGAAACAUAGAAAGGGAAAACCUAAAAUGAUGGACUCUGUGAUCAAGAUGGAAGACCUUAGUACAUGCUGUUGUAGUGGCUUUUCCUGAUUGCAGUUUAACACCUUGCUCUUACUUCUCACAAAAAUUAAAGAAUUUGAUUCUUUAAGCAAACAUUUUGUUAUCA